rnacentral:misc_RNA from 1 species
GCGACAAGAAAGCCACACUAUACGAAGUCAUCUUUUAAAAUCCAGGGCUCUUCAUGUGUUGAAAAAAACACUGAUUUUUUAAAGGUUUUUUGUUUUUUCUGGGAGAACAAAUCCAUUUUCUUCUUCAGAAAUAUCAGAAUGGCAGAAAAACCUGAAAAAUGGCAAAAUCAAGUAGGGAUCUUAAGAAAUCCAGAACAAAACCUGCAGAGCAAUCGAACUAUGUGUAUUUAUCUUUGGAAUGAUUGGGAAAUGACUGCUGCAAAAAUAAGCUGCCAUCUUGGGUUAUGCUUGAGUAGGAUAGAUUACCAUGUCAAAAGAAAUGGAUAUUUGGUGCAUAAUUAUAAUUAUCAAAGAUUUGGAUGAGAGAAGAAAGGUAUAAUGAAUUCCUGCUGUUUGGGACGAAGGGCUUGUUUAAUUAAGCCAACGAUAUGAGGUUGUGUGUACCAGACAUUUGCAGACUGUGAAAAAAAAAAUUGAUAACAGGAAUGAGAUGUGCAGACUGUGAAACACAGAAUGAAGAGAAAGCAAAUGUAGAAUUCUCUGUGAGAAUUUCUGGCAUUUAUUACGUGGUGACUAAAGUGUGGUUUGAAAUGUGCAGGAAGAAAAUUACUUGUGACAAGGAUUCUGGAGUAGGAUUCACCAUUAGGGUUUUUUUCCCCUCUGGAUGUGUCGGACAGAUGCUUGUAAUUAUCUGAAUUACACAGAUAAAAUAUACAAGUUAAACAAACAUUCACCUGACGCAGAUCUCGGGAGGUAGUGCUAUUAGACAAAUGAUGGCUUGUACAAAUAUUGACCUGAUUGGAUGUUUUUUUCUUUAUCAACAAGAGAAGAAAAAUAUUACAAUUCUUGCCCCCCCCCUCCCCCCUUUGUAGUAGUCCCUGUGAUUUUUUUUCUAAAUGAAUAAAAAAUAUAUUGUGUGACAAAAUUAGUAUUUUUUAAAGAGAAGUUUAUGUUGAUGCAUUUCGUUUUGAUUAUGAAAUACUCGUGAAUGCGCUGUUGUGAAUAUGAAACGAUCAUCACUUUAACUGUGAAAGAUGUCUGAUAUUUUGAAUAUUGGACAGACCAAAGGCAAUUGUGUUUGUCAUUGUCAGCUUUUUACAUUCUAGUGUGUGGCAAGUGUAACACUUAAUUCCUUAGAAAACAGAAGACGUCAAAAAUAGGUGGUGUCAACAUUUAUCAUUGAAUUAAAUCCAUGAUUGUGAAAUAUUGGAGGAAAUGUGAAUUGUCUGCUUGUUGUGUUGUGAAUGUAGCUAGAGCCAUUCUGGAGAAUGUAUGUUAAAUUUGGUAAUGCUUCGGAAGUACUGUUCUUUCUAAGCAACGAGAGAAAGAGCGAGAUAGUGAGAGCGAAUGAGUGAUUGAUAGAAAGAGGAGAAUGAGAUGUGAUAGUAUACACUCUCAAUGUAAAAAAAAAUCAUUUUCAAACACCCAUGUUUUCAUAGUUCAUUAAAUGAUGAAAAAAAGA